rnacentral:lncRNA from 1 species
AUUGGAAUAUUAUCAGUACCAUAUUCACUAGCUCGUGGAGGAUGGUUAAGUCUAUCACUUCUGUUACUCCUAGCCGCAACCGCCUUCUACACAUCUCUGCUCAUUACAAAAUGCAUGAACGCUGAUCGCAGCAUUAAAACCUAUCCGGACAUUGGAGAACGUGCGUUUGGUAAACCAGGGAGAAUAAUUGUGUCAGUCUUCAUGCACCUAGAACUAUACCUAGUCACCACUGGCUUCUUGAUCAUGGAAGGAGACAAUCUUCAUAAUCUUUUCCCGGGGUUUAACAUCAAAAUGAUCGGUUUAAGAUUGAACGGUAAACAAUCGUUCAUGGCGUCAGUGGCCCUUGUAAUCAUGCCAACUCUUUGGUGGGAUAAUCUAAGCGUCUUGUCUUAUGUUUCUAUGAGUGGUGUUUUAGCUACGGUCUUGACUCUUGGAUCAAUAUCUUGGGUUGGAGCUGUUGAUGGAAUCGGGUUUCGUCAAAGUGGAAAGCUGAUUAACUGGAGUGGCAUCCCUACAGCUUUGAGCUUGUAUGCUUUUUGCUAUGGCGCACAUCCCGUGUUGCCCACUUUGUAUAAUUCCAUGAAAAGUAAACAUCAGUUCAACAAUGUAAGUCAUCAUUUCUACACAUAGAUUUUUUUUUCUGCUAAAAUACACAUAUAUAUUGUUAAAUUUGGAUUAUGUAUAUUUUUAGAUCACGAAUAGAUAUAAAUCAAUCACUAUCAUUAACCAACAAACUCGUGACCACUGGCAUGAAUUUAUAUUUUGUUUUGUUGCAAAUUUAGUUGAUUUGAAAUGCUACUAAUCAGAUGAAUUUUAUUGUGCAAUCAAGUCAUAUCUUAAUAGAUAAGAUUCGUGAUCUAAUAUUAUGAAUUAAUGGCAUGUUCAACCCUUAUAAUUAAUUAAGGAAUUAAGGAAGAGAACAUGCAACAGAGUUCAUUUUCUUUGCCAGAGAGCAUAAUCUAUAUACUUCCUCUGUCCUUAGAUAAAUAUUUCUUUUUAAAACAAAUUGUUUCAAAAAAAAGUUGGGUAUUUUUAUUAGUUAAUAAUGAUAAAUUAUAAACUAAAAAUAAUAAUUAUAUUUUUAAAAUAUUAUUAUUCUAAAAUUAUGAAAAUUGACAAACACACAAAUAAUAUAUUUCUUAUCAAAAUUUAAUAUAUUUUCUUAAUAUGUAUAAAAAUAUAUAAAAUACCUUUUUUAGAAAUACAAGGAGUAUAAUAUAAACCGUUGAAACCAAAGCUACUCUCUAUGUUUCAUGUUAUAGGUAGUUUUAGGGGAAAAAGGUUUGUUUCAAUAUAUAGGUAGUUUUCAUAUUUCAAUGCAUUUUUGUACUUAUUGAAUAUUUUGUGACCAAUAAUUAAUACAUACUUUGUAUGAUUGGUUGCACUUAUACAUAAAUGAUACUUUUUGAAAAGUAACAAAUUUCUUGAUAUUGAUAUUUUUAACUUAAACUACUUGCAUUUUGAAACAGAGGGAGCAGUAAUCAUUUAAGCAAAAUCAAAAUAAUCACAUAAAAUUUUAUGCAGAUCUUUACUUACUCAAAUAAUUUUUUUUUUUGUAAAUACUUGCAGUAUUACACUUAACUUAUGAAACUUCAAUUAUUUAAGAAUGGCGAUUUUAUUUUGGUGAGGAAUGGAAUCAAAAGGCACCACUUCGAUCGCCAGCCAACAAGUUCAUCGAAGGAUAUUUCUUUGGUUUUGGAUUGCUUUGAUUAGCGAAGUAAGGAUAUUGUAUUCGUUUAAUUGAUAUUUUAAAAAGUAGCAUAACUGAAAUGACCACCAUUUUAAAAAAAUUUGAAAUGUAGAUUCCAAAUUUUUGUCAUUAUGGUAUUAAUGAUUGGAUGUGUUUUAGGUUAAAAAUAGACUUCGUAGGUUAGAGGUCUGUAAGUCUAUAAUUUAGAAUAUUGUUUACAUUUGAGUGAAAAAAAAAGAAGAAGAAGCUAAAAUCUAGUAGUUAGUUGGUAGUGAAUCCCUAUCGUGUAGGACUUUAAAUCCUAAUCACCUAAAAAGUUUUGUCUUCACUUUCAUAUGCGUGAGACUCCACUCAUUCCUUUUUCGUGAUCCGUAAACUUAAAUAGGACUACCUGUUCAAGUGCCAUUCUUCAGGCUCGACGAUUCACUUUGGAGAUUAAGUAAGCUCCUUAGAGUUACACAAACUAUUCCCAUUUAUUUUCCAGGUAAAUUUUAUGUUUUUCCUUUUACAAAAUAAUAAAAUCUAGGUUUUUUUUGUUUAAAAAUUAGGGUUUCUGAAUCGUUUAUGUGUAAACAAGCCUUUAAAAUUUGGAGACUAUAAUUAUAUAUUUAUUCAUAAAUAUGCAUAUACGCACACGUAACUCCUAAUUAAUCACAAUAAGUAAUCACGUUUCUCUUGCUUUUCUCUUUUGAUGAACUCAACCAUAUAAUCUUCUAUUAUUUUUGAACAGAAAGAUAUAUCAUUAUUUCUGAUACUCUCUUUCUAUAGAAGUUCAAACUGUACACGUUAAAGUUCACUUAUACACAACUUUGCAAAAAUAAAAUUGCAUUCUCUACUUUUCUAUGAGAAGUUAUCAGCAAUGGAAGAAGAUAACCAAGAAAAACAACUUGAAGAUGGCGGAUCUUCUUCUCUCUUUAAGACUUGUUUCAACGCACUCAAUGCUUUUUCAGGUUAACUUUUAUUUAGUCGAUACAUUUAUAUAUUUACUCGUCUUUGUAUAACAAUUUGAAUGCUAAUGGCUAUAACGGAAAUUGUAUUAGGCAUUGGAAUAUUAUCAGUACCAUAUUCACUAGCUCGUGGAGGAUGGUUAAGUCUAUCACUUCUGUUACUCCUAGCCGCAACCGCCUUCUACACAUCUCUGCUCAUUACAAAAUGCAUGAACGCUGAUCGCAGCAUUAAAACCUAUCCGGACAUUGGAGAACGUGCGUUUGGUAAACCAGGGAGAAUAAUUGUGUCAGUCUUCAUGCACCUAGAACUAUACCUAGUCACCACUGGCUUCUUGAUCAUGGAAGGAGACAAUCUUCAUAAUCUUUUCCCGGGGUUUAACAUCAAAAUGAUCGGUUUAAGAUUGAACGGUAAACAAUCGUUCAUGGCGUCAGUGGCCCUUGUAAUCAUG